AAAACAGAGGGAGCGGAGGUGCUCGCUGUCACACUGCCUGUGCUGGACCCUGCAGACACUUCUGGGCACCAUGGGCCACAUUCUCACCAUGGUCAGUGUUCACCUGACUCCUUUACUUGAUAACUUAAGAACUUGAACUCUGUCUUGUUCAUUUGUCUGCAGAUACCUGACUCUUCGGUCUGCUUGUCCUUCUGAGGGAACCCCAGCCUGAGAUUUUUAUGAUCCUAAUAGAAUAUUUACCUCGGUGAGAAGUUUUGCCAUGACUCCGUAUUAUUCCUAAUGGGAAUAGUAAGAACAAUUCCAUGAUCGGUCCUCUGGAAAUUUGGCUAAGUGUGGGGAUCCAAAGGGCAAUAAUUCCAAGAGUAAUUGAGCUGGAAAUAAAAAGGAUGCAUCCUUUUUAAAUGUCAUCAUACCAGCCUGUGCAGAGUGGCAGAGCAGAACCAAAGUGGACUGAGAUGUACUGAUAUGGAAUGAGGCUCUUGAGAAACAAAUGUGCUGUACCGUGAGAACAGCUGUCAGAGCCCUUCUGGCAAUGCUGGGUUAUUGGUUGGAUUUGAUGAUCAUGAAGAGACCGGUUUGGUCAGUCACAAUCUGCCCUUAGUGAAGCUGUCCUGGGUCACUGCUCUGUCCUGGAUGUGCCUCAGCACUGAUUCCAUGAAGAUCUGCUCCAAGAUAUUCCCUGGCACAGAGACUUGAGAACUGAGCUGAGGCAUUGAACCAGCAUUCAUGAAUCAAAAUAAAAGUUAUAGAUUUACCUUUCAAGACGCUCAUAGGCUUACUCACAGGACAGUUUUAAGUUUGACAUUUGAGAUAUUUCCUCAUCAAAAAAAUGUAAAUUAACUCAGAGUCAUAAAGAAGAAAGUAAGAGAAUGACAAGUGACAGAAAGAAAAUUCACCACACCAGCAAUUUUUCUCUUUAUUGAAAAGGUCCCUAAUUGAGGAACACAGAGCUAUUCAAGGCAGCUCCUAACUUUGUAACUAGCUAACAAUAAAGUCAAUGGCAUUGUAAAUGCCACACACACUACCAGAAAUGCUUGUUUAGCCUGCUGAAAAUAAAUUGCACGUAAAAAAAUCACUUCAUAUUUACUGUCAAAUUAAAAAAAAAUCAAGACAUAGAUAUUUAAGAAUCAAAUGCUUUAGUAAAAAUUAAUUUCCAAAGCAUUGGAAAGAAUUAAAAUCAGACUUGUUGCAGCUGCAGGUGUGCUGCCGGCUUUUAGCUCCACCUGCUGAGUCCAACUGAAAUAACAGCAAGCUUGAGCUCUCUGUUUUUAAAAACCCUGUCCCAAGGGCCCCUAAAGCAGAGCAGAACCCACAAUAUUAGUCAAUAAGUGAAAUAGCACACAGUGAGAAAGUGAGGGCAGGUUCUGCUUGAAAACAGAGGCUCCACGGGACCUUGGGGGUUAGGGAAUUUUAGACUGUCAAAAACUUGUAGAUGGUUUUUCUAGUUGUAAUUUGAACUCUCUAAAAAUGUUCUUCUUCCAUUUUAAGUGCCUUUCUGAGAUAGCAAAGGCAUUUCACACACCGCCUUCACUGAAUCCAAGGUCUUACUGAGUUUUACAUGGAGAUUCCCACUCCCUUCCUUAUCCAGAGAUAAAACUACCCUGGGAGGAUAAAUAUUUUCAAGGCACACUAUAUGAGGAGAGAAAAAACAGCCUGAGCCUUGUUGUUCUGCAUACCAGCAGAAGGCUGCUUGCAUUGAGAUCUUCCAAGCUGCUCCAGGAGAAGCUGUUUCAAGGACUAAUUUCAGAACUAAUCAAUUGUUGACUUUAAAAAGUGGUUACUAUAGAAAUUAUCAUUAUGGAUUGGCUGAACCCAGGCAAAACACUAAGUGUAAGAAAUGUUUAACCUUCUAGCUGACUCCUGUGCAACCCACAGCUGAUGCUGCCUAAAUGUCAGGAAUUUAAAAAUAAAAUUAAAAUAAGAGAAACAACCAACAAAACAUUUAUUUGACAAGUAAGCUUUAGGGUUCAAAUAUAGGUGAUGCAGCUUUGGCUUGAGAGGUGUCAUUUAGAGUUUUGGAUUACACAUCCCUUUUACACAAAAUACACAAAAAAAAUCACUUUAUCUUAUGAUUUGUCUUGUCUUUGUUUUAUGUCACCUGUGACCACGC